CAGAUCGAAGGACAAAAGGACGAAAGACUGUAGAUAAAGGAAAAUGUUACACUCCUGUUACUCAUUAAUGUGAGAAAGAGUAACGCACAACGUGGCUAAUUAGUCCCUCCUUCUAAAUAAAAGAGUGAAUGGUUGAUUGGAGAAGUCACUCUUCAUCUCAACAUCUUUCAGAAGCUGCGGUUGCUGUAGUUUAUUCUGAGAUACGUGUGUAUGACUGCACAUGAGCAUCGACUGCUGCAGACUGAAAAGAGCUUCUUUUUAAAUGCUUUAUGAACAUAGUUAACAUUGGCUCCUCAGUCUCGGGUGGCAUCUGUGGCUCAGUUUUGGUUAAGAUGAUACGAAUCCUAAAUGAUGAUUUUUUUGUUGAGUUAUGUUAAAUGAGGUAUAAAGAUGGAAAUGUAAUGGUAAUUUGUUUUGUAAUUGGCUCUUUUUUCUUACCUAAUUCACAGGGAGGUAAAGAGGUGUUGGUGCAUUAGUUUCCGUGUCCAUCCUGGAGCUGGAGCUUAUCCCAGCAACCACAGGCCAAAAGAUUGAAAAUGACCCUGAAGAGGAGACCAGUCUGUCACAGAGAUAACACACACAAUAUUGAUCAAAUAAAAUCAUCCUCUAGUCCCUGAUUAACUAUA